GCAGUAUGCUUCCUCAAUUCAGAGCCAAUAAUGGGGCACAGCCGGUGCUGUUGGCAUGGCAACAGACGAAAUUUUAAAAGCCGGUCCAUUAACCCAGUUUCAUCAGGACACUCUGACCUGGGCUAAAAUCAGCUUUAUUGUUUUGCGCUGAAGUCUGUCUUCCUUCAUUCUCUCUCUCUCUCAGGCCAUGAGGACUGAACAGGCUAGACAGGAGCUCAUUAACCAGGGCAGUGUGUCAGCGGCCAAGACCCUGGAGAGAAUCAGAGGUCCCCAGGUGUCACCGCAUCUGGCGGAAGAGGCCCAGAAGAGAGAGCGAUUCGAAGAGAUGAAACGGCAGCUGGAGCUCGACCAGGAGGAUGGAUCUGAUCGCUCCGUACAGUCAGUUAUCUGAAGCCGAAAGCUUAAUGUGGAAGGUGCAGAGGAUGAAACUCGAUGAGCGCAGGGUGAACUUCCUGCAGCAAGAACAAAUGAAUGUACAGCUCUCAGAGCAGCAGAAUCUACGAGAGCAGCAAAUAGCAGAUUCUGUUCUCCCAGAAUCCUCUGUUCCUCCCUGUCCUCCUGCCAUUGAUGAAGCUCAAGCUCUCAUAUCAGAGGAAAGCAACAUUGCUGACUUCAUUCCCAAGCCUCCACGUAUCCCUUAUAGUGGUGCCGUGACCCAUUCCCUUCACAACAUUGGAUCUGACCCCUGCAAUCUCCCCAGAAACCCCACCCACAGCAGCCACACCCAUCAACCUCCCACAUAUGUGUCGGUGAAUACGUAAUGGAAUUCCUAGAGUCUGUCUCUGUACCUAAUAUACUCAGACAUGCUUCCAAGUCCAGCUUCCCACUAGGUCACUUCACUCCAGAGGUGCCAGCAGGCGUCACCCAAAGGCUAGUAUUCAUGGACACCCUUCACAGAGCUCCGUACAGCUGGGAGGCUCCACCGCCUCGGGGCAGAACACGGGCCCAAUCCGCUCUGAGUCAAACAUCCCUGCACAAACUACUCAAGAGCGAAAACAUGUGAGACACAGAGAGAUAGCCAGUGUACAGAAAAACAACCGACUGGAGAAGAGACCGCAACAGAGCCCUCGGUGGCCAGCACAGGUUCAGUGCCAAAGCAAGCCGCCCAGGAGCCAACAGAGGAAGCCAAGUCCUGUGAGAGUGUUAGCCAGCCCUCUCACUGUUCUCAGCCAGAGCAAGAACAAUCUGUGUCUCUUCUCAGAAGCUUCCAUGAGUCAGAGUCUGAUUCUGAUACAAGAAAUAACAUCCAGCAUCUGAUCUCAUCUUUGCAGAGACUCCUCUGCAGUCUGUGGCCACGCCCAUAUAAGGAUUGGCGAACAUGUUUCUGAAGUGACAACUCUCCUUUCCAUGCCUAACAUCCAUGGCCACGCCUCUGACGCCCAUAUAAGGAUUGGCGAACAUGUUUCUAAAGUGACAACUCUCCUUUCCAUGCCUAACAUCCAUGGCCACGCCUCUGACGCCCAUAUAAGGAUUGGCGAACAUGUUUCUGAAGUGACAACUCUCCUUUCCAUGCCUAACAUCCAUGGCCACGCCUCUGACGCCCAUAUAAGGGUUGGCGAACAUGUUUCUGAAGUGAUAACUCCCCUUUCCACACCUAACAUCCAUGGCCACGCCUCUGACGCCCAUAUAAGGGUUGGUGAACAUGUUUCUGAAGGGUGGUGUCAGGGAGUUUGAACCGACCCAGACGUCCAACCAAAUCUGACCAACACCAGAAGAUGCAGAGAAACCUUGCGUAAUAAUCGCCCCCUAGUGAGCCAUUCGCUCUGGAUGAGGGACUGUCUGCCUGGGUUCUGGGACUGGGAUUGUCUCCUAAAGGGAGUCCAGAGUACUGCUAUCUUCUCAGCCUGGCUUCACAGUACCAGGACUCGUAUGGUCUGAUGAGUGAGUACUGGACCG